CUUUGGCAUCUUUAUUGACCAAAAUUGCACUUUAAUUGAAUCACAGAAAACAUCAAAACAAUAAUAAUAAUUCUAUAAUUUAUAUUUAUAUGUCAACAAACAAUUUUAUGCUUCUGAGAGAUAUAUUUCUCCUUUAACAAUCAUGUGGUAUAACAGCAAUAUGUUUCCGGACUUCCUUCCAUUUUCACAAUAUAUUUUUUUUUAAGUCUUAAGCUCACAGAGACCUGUACUGGUACUGCCCACCUUCUUAUUAAUCACCAUUAAAAUAUCAACAAUGAAUUUUGUUUGUUGUGUUAUACAGGACUCUGAAAGAUUACUGAAGUUCGGCAUUUCUCCAAACAUUAAAUGUUUUUAGCCUCUGUAGUUUAAGAAAACUGUUAUUAAUAGUUUACUUUUAAUUUCAUCUUUGUAAUAUGGUCUUGAAUAUUUGUUUAUUUCACCAACAUAUUUUUUUUUCUAAAUGUGUAUAUGUAGUGUUUUAUUUCAAAUUAUAAAUUAACCUAAACAAUAUUGAAUUCAGCCAAUUUAAAAAAGGAAACUUUGAUAUUUCAAAUAUUUCCAAAUGCUAUAAAUUAAAAUCUUCUGAAUAAAAGUCAACAUUUAAUAAUUAUACAGCUAUAAAACAGCAAAAAUCUUUCAAUAAAUAUCCCCAACAAAUUACAGAUUGAUUGACUAAUUAAUUAACAAAGUGAUACACUCAUCUACAAAUGAACACAAACAUAUCUAUUAGGUGAAACAAAUAUGUCAUUCUAAGUUUGUUACAUAAUGCCAUAGUUUAGGGUUUAUAUGGGCAACGCCCACAUUAACACACAGAUACUUUAACAAGGCAGUAUGUUUAUAAUACAAUGUAGUGAUAAUUCAUAUUUCUUCAAGUUCCAUAACCUUUUUGGCACUUAAUUGUUCUGAAUUUUAACUCAAUUUGCUUAUAAGAUGAAUACAGAACAUUAAAAAAGCUGGUUAUGCACAUUUUUAUCUACAUAAAUAUAGCACUGUUUUAUGUUGUAAAAUAUCACUGCUUAAAUAGUUUUUUUAUUCCUGGAAAUUCAGAUAUAUAUUCUCUAUAAUGCAAUAUUUGAUUGAAAAGAAUUGAUUGCAAUAAUAAAACAUGCAGUUAACGAAUAACUGUAAUUGAAAUGUUUCCACCUUUAAAUCUCAGAUACACACCUGUCCUAUGACAUUCAAAUUAGGGUUGAUCAUUACACACUACUACAAAAUGCACAGAAUCCUGAUAACAGUCCUCAACAUAUUGUCGGUGGUUCUUAGAUACAUUAUAGCAUGGUCUAACAUUGAUCAUAUGAGAAUUGAUUUUCCAGGACUAUUAGAUAAGUUAUAUUUCAAUCUAAUUGUUACAAUCUUGCCUUUCAGGAAUUUUGAAUUAUACAAGUUUGAUUCCCUAAAUUUUGCAGGAAUUUUUUUUAUCAAGAAUAAAAAUGUGUAUUUUCAUUGUGCCUAAAUCUUAAAAAGUGUAUACAUGACAAAAUACAGUAUAUUUUCGAAUGGAAUGUUGUUUAUAAUAAUAGAACAACAACAAAAGCAGACACAGAACAUGCCUGCCUUUAUUGGGUAGGAAAUAUAUCUGUAAUGGAACAACUCUACUUUCUAGAAGGAUAACUGACUAUAUAACUACAUGGAUAUUUUUGUUUACAAUAUAUACAAUAAAAUAUGUUUAUACUGCAUUCUAUUAACUUUGAUCUAUUUCUAUAAAUUACACAUACAAUACAUUAUAAUAACAACUGAUAGGCAGUGUUGUUUAACUUACAUAUUAUUCUAUAAAAUACAAUACAAUACUUCACAUUAUUCACUGAUGGCAGUGAAGAAAAAAAGCACCUCAUAACUAUCUAUAAAUAGUUUUCAAUAAUGCCACUUAAAAGCUAUUUCAGUGAAUUAGAAAAGUCAUCUUUUUAUAAAUAUUUGUUAAAGCUCUAAAUAUCUGAGUAGCUUGCACAUGUUGAGCUAUAGAUUAAAAUUAAACAAGAAUGUGUCAAAAGUACACGGAUGCCCCACUCGCACUAUAUAUUUCUAUGUUAUGGACCUGAAAUUGGGUCAAAAACUUUAAUUUGGAAUUAAAAUUAGAAAGAUCAUAUCAUGGGGAACAUGUGUACUAAGUUUCAAGUUGAUUGGACUUCAACUUCAUCAAAAACUACCUUAACCAAAAGCUUUAACCUGAAGCGAACGGACGCACGGACGGACAGAGGCACAGAGGCACAGACCAGAAAACAUAAUGCCCCUUUACUAUAGUAGGUGGGGCAUAAUAAAAUGAAGGAAUAAAAGUUUGUACCAAUGUAGAAAACCCGCUUUAUCCAAAAGUUUGUAUAUAUGUAGUGAACACAUUUCAUCUAAGUUAGGUAAAAAAAAAAUGUUUAUGAUUUUCUUAAAAACCCAAUUCAUCACAAGGUACUUCACUAUCACAACACCUAUUUAUGACAUUGUCAACUUUACUUUACAUAGUACAUUUUUUUGUAUAUAUGUAUAUUUACACAAAACAUUUGUUUGUCAACAAAUCUGGCAUACACUAAUAAUAUAUUAUAAGUGAGAUCGUUUACUUAUAUCGGUUUACAAAUAGAUAAUUUUGCUCUGUAAGGGUAUUAAGACGAUAAUUAACCUAUCAUGAUCACCCAUAUUAAUAACCUGGAUGUUCCAAGUAAAACCAAUAUUUUUUUCAAUCAACAUGCAAAAUAUGUUUUAAACUUUUGUUUUGAACAAUAGAAACCUGAACACAUAGUUUUGUUGUCUUCGAAUUCUUCGAUUGAAAUCCAUUCACAUUAUGACACUUGGACAAAAAGUAUACUCAAUUUUGAUAAAAAUGAAAACAAUCCAAAGCUAAAAAAAAGCUAAGCUCUUUUUUCAAUUAAUGUUAACUGUAUUAUUUUAAAGGGUGACCAUGGCAGUCACAAUAUAGUCAUACACUUAACAUUCUUUGGUUCAACAAUACAAUAAGAAAUUCUGUAUACAUAAAAAGAAGUAAUUGAAAUGAAAAACAUAUGGAAAUAACAUCUGUCAUUCUCAUAUUUGUG
rnacentral:lncRNA from 1 species